AAUCCGUGGUUUGGGCAUUUCUAAAUUAGCGUCUUAAAAUGCUCUCAUGCUUUGUGAAAGCUUUCCCCUUCUAACUGCUUGCACAUUGAAAUUUCCCUUCUUAGUUA
rfam:Gossypium raimondii Chr04_contig_302, whole genome shotgun sequence.